rnacentral:rRNA from 1 species
CAGCCGCCGCGGUAACACGGAGGGGGCUAGCGUUGUUCGGAAUUACUGGGCGUAAAGCGCACGUAGGCGGCUUGGUAAGUUAGAGGUGAAAGCCCGGAGCUCAACUCCGGAAUUGCCUUUAAGACUGCCGAGCUAGCAGGUGAGAGAGGUAAGUGGAAUUCCGAGUGUAGAGGUGAAAUUCGUAGAUAUUCGGAAGAACACCAGUGGCGAAGGCGGCUUACUGGCUCAUACUGGACGCUGAGGUGCGAAAGCGUGGGGAGCAAACAGGAUUAGAUACCCCUGUAGUCCCUGUCUCUUAUAC